AUGAUUUGCAAAAUGAAGUCUCAAAACAAAUAACUGAACCUUAAAUAAACGCUAUCAUUUUAAAAUUUAUGGUUAACAUUACAUGUUGCCCUUAUCCUUAACCACUCAGUAUUUGCGUUUAAAGGGUCACUCCACUGCCCAAAUACAAAUGUAAAUAAAUGGAGAGAAAAAAAAACACACGGUUUACCAGAUAUAACCCCAAAAAACAUCAAUGCAUUUAUUAUUAUGCAUUUUUUCAUUUGUAGUACAUCUAACAACAGCUUGCAAAAGUUGAAGAUUUCUUGUCUGAACUCUUUGUAAGUCCUCCCCUUCUAACCCUGCCCAGACUUUCUGUGACUGUCCAAUCACAGAUUUCCCAUUGCAGCUGAAAGAGAAAUCUUGCAAGGCAGAUGCUCUGAACAAUUGACUGCCUCCUGUGUUUUAGCUCCACUGAGCUAAUCAACCAGGAAGUAACAGGACUGAUUGUCUAAUUGAAAAGUUAACUUAUUAAGGUAACAAUUUUAACUGAAAUCUGCACUUUUUGUGAAAGGAAAAAAAAAAGAGGACACUCUUCAUGCAUGAAGCACUUCAGCAAGCUCAAUUGCAUUAGGGUUGGAGUGUCUCAUUAACUAGAAACAAAAAAAAAAGAAAGCUUUUUUUUUCCAUAUAAACUAUUUAAGCCUAAAACAGGGUCAGAUUACAAUAGAGUCUAUUGGAGAUGAAUCUCCUGGUCCGCUCACUGCAAUAUGUCCAAGCUACCUGACCUUUUUCAUUUUUUAAAU